rnacentral:rRNA from 1 species
UACGGGGGGGGGCAAGCGUUGUUCGGAAUUACUGGGCGUAAAGGGCUCGUAGGCGGCCAACUAAGUCGGACGUGAAAUCCCCAGGCUCAACCUGGGAACUGCGUCUGAUACUGGUUGGCUUGAAUCCGGGAGAGGGAUGCAGAAUUCCUGGUGUAGCGGUGAAAUGCGCAGAUAUCAGGAGGAACACCAAUGGCGAAGGCAGCACUCUGGGACGUGACUGACGCUGAGACGCGAAAGCGUGGGGAGCAAACAGG